ACGUUCGACACCUACGAGAGGCAGCAGUGGGGAAUAUUGCACAAUGGGGGAAACCCUGAUGCAGCGACGCCGCGUGAGCGAAGAAGUAUUUCGGUAUGUAAAGCUCUAUCAGCAGGGAAGAAACUGACGGUACCUGACUAAGAAGCACCGGCUAAAUACGUGCCAGCAGCCGCGGUAAUCUGAGCGGGCUGGCAAGGC
rnacentral:rRNA from 1 species